UUCCUGUUCGUAUAACGGCUAGUAUGCUCGCUUGUCACUGUGAUCGCGGGAGAUCGGAGUUCGAUUCUCCGACAGGAAG